rnacentral:lncRNA from 1 species
CUAACUAUCAUGUUAUGACUCACUAGACUCGUCCGGACUUAGAAUGAAUGUCGAUCUGGGGCUGGUUGUGCACUUGUGGUGGCCUCUACUGCUUUGCAAAGUCAUUGCCGAUGAGUUUCACCCUACCACACAUAAGGUUAGUCCGUUACUGUGCGAUAGGCCUCCAAUGAUAGCGCCUACCCUAGGACCUCGCACUACUCUUACCACAUGCGUCAAUCCUCUCUAAGUGAGAAUGAAAGACCAUAGUGUUGGGAUAACCCCCCAUAUGAAAGCCUCUUACAUCAACUUAUUUCCC